rnacentral:rRNA from 1 species
GAGUUUGAUCCUGGCUCAGAACGAACGUUGGCGGCGUGCUUAACACAUGCAAGUCGAACGAGAACGGUUCCUUCGGGAGCUUAGUAAAGUGGCGCACGGGUGAGUAACACGUAGAUAACCUGUCCAGGUGUUCGGGAUAGCCCUUCGAAAGGGGGGAUUAAUACCGGAUACGUUAGUCUGUUAUAAGGCAGAUUAAGAAAGGUGGCCUCUAUUUAUAAGCUAUCGCAUUUGGAGGGGUCUGCGUACCAUUAGUUUGUUGGUGGGGUAAAGGCCUACCAAGACUUCGAUGGUUAGCGGGUCGUGAGAGGAUGAUCCGUCACACUGGCACUGAAACACGGGCCAGACUCCUACGGGAGGCAGCAGUGAGGAAUAUUGUCGCAAUGGGGGAAACCCGUGACGCAGCGACGCCGCGUGGGUGAGGAAGGC